UAGGGAAUAUUGGUAAUCUGGGAAACCGGGAACCAGCAACGCCGCGUGUGCGAUGAAGGCCUUCGGGUUGUAAAGCACUUUUUGCAGGGAAGAGGAAGGACGGUACCUGCAGAAUAAGUCUCGGCUAACUACGUGCCAGCAGCCGCGGUAAAACGUAGGAGACGAGCGUUAUCCGGAUUUACUGGGCGUAAAGCGCGUGCAGGCGGCAUGGCAAGUUGGAUGUGAAAGCUCCCGGCUUAACUGGGAGAGGUCGUUCAAUACUGCCAGGCUUGAGAGUGGUAGAGGGAAGCGGAAUUCCGUGUGUAGUGGUGAAAUGCGUAGAUAUCCGGAGGAACACCAGUGGCGAAAGUGGCUUCCUGGCCCAUUUCUGACGCUCAGACGCGAAAGCUAGGGUAGCAAACG
rnacentral:rRNA from 1 species